rnacentral:rRNA from 1 species
AUACGGAAGGUCCGGGCGUUAUCCGGCUUUAUUGGGUUUAAAGGGAGCGCAGGCGGAGAUGCAAGCGUGACGUCAAAUUUCGGGGCUCAACCCCGUCUCGCGUCGCGAACUGCGUCCCUUGGUUUCGGGAAGGGGAGGCGGACCUCGUGGUGUAGCGGUGAAAUGCAUAGAUAUCACGAAGAACUCCGAUCGCGAAGGCAGCCUUCCGGCCCGUCAACGACGCUCAUGCUCGAAGGUGCGGGUAUCAAACAGGAUUAGAUACCCUGGUAGUCCGCACAGUAAACGAUGGACACCCGCGGUUUGGCCUGUAUGGCUGAGCCGCCAAGCGAAAGCGUUAAGUGUCCCACCUGGGGAGUACGCCGGCAACGGUGAAACUCAAAUGAAUUGGCGGGG